UUAGGGGAGGCAGCAGUGGGGAAUAUUGCACAAUGGGCGCAAGCCUGAUGCAGCCAUGCCGCGUGUAUGAAGAAGGCCUUCGGGUUGUAAAGUACUUUCAGCGGGGAGGAAGGCGUUGUGGUUAAUAACCACAGCGAUUGACGUUACCCGCAGAAGAAGCACCGGCUAACUCCGUGCCAGCAGCCGCGGUAA
rnacentral:rRNA from 1 species